rnacentral:rRNA from 1 species
GACGAACGCUGGCGGCGUGCUUAACACAUGCAAGUCGAACGGAAAGGCCCUGCUUUUGUGGGGUGCUCGAGUGGCGAACGGGUGAGUAACACGUGAGUAACCUGCCCUUGACUUUGGGAUAACUUCAGGAAACUGGGGCUAAUACCGGAUAGGAGCUCCUGCUGCAUGGUGGGGGUUGGAAAGUUUCGGCGGCUGGGGAUGGACUCGCGGCUUAUCAGCUUGUUGGUGGGGUAGUGGCUUACCAAGGCUUUGACGGGUAGCCGGCCUGAGAGGGUGACCGGCCACAUUAGGGCUGAGAUACUGCCCAGACUCCUACGGGGGGCAGCAGUGGGGAAUAUUGCACAAUGGGCGGAAGCCUGAUGCAGCAACGCCGCGUGCGGGAUGACGGCCUUCGGGUUGUAAACCGCUUUCGCCUGUGACGAAGCGUGAGUGACGGUAAUGGGUAAAGAAGCACCGGCUAACUACGUG